CAGCUUCUUAUUACUGUUCAUUUCAUAUGCUGACUAAGUGCCAGAUCCAGGCUUUAUAUUUAGUCUUUCAAAGUUCGCAGUUUGUUCUGGUGAUAUAGCACACACACCCUUUGAAUCUACCUUUUAUGAUGAAACUAGAGGCCCGGUGCAUGAAAUUCAUG